AAAUCCAAUCUUUGAACUCAAACCAAGCUCAUAAUUUUAGUGGGUUUUCCAGGAAAGCAAUUGGGUUUUUGUUUGAAAGGAAGUUAAGGGUCGUUGAAAGAAGUUAAGGGUUUUGUGAAUGCAAGAGAGGAUGGCGUUGACGAAGCUGAGGAGCAGAGCAGAGGGGAGAGUACUAUCCCGGAGCGGUUUAGGUACCUGACCUAAGAAGCUCCUGACCCUCCUUUGAGGUGGCCUUUGUUUCUGGACAAUAGCAAGACUUGAGAAGUUUAAGAAGACCCUGUCUGUGAAGCCCACAGCCCCAGAUAGUGAAUCUGGAGAUGGUGAUGGUGAAGAUUUAUCUGAUUGGCAAAAAUCUCGGUUAAAAUUUGCUCCUGAGACUGGCAAGAUGACUCGCACCGAGGACGUAAACCACAGAUAAGAGCUAGCUCUUU